rnacentral:lncRNA from 1 species
UUAUUUACAUUGUUUUGUCAAUUUCUUCUGUACAGCCAAGUCACCCAGUCAUACAUCUAUUCACUCUUUUUCUCAUAUUAUCUUUCAUCAUGUUCCAUCAAAAAUGAUUGGACAUAAUUCCCUGUGCUAUACAGCAGGACUUCAUUGCUUAUCCAUUCUAAAUGUAACAGUUUGCAUCUAUUAACCCCAAACUCCCCAUCCAUCACACUCCCUCGUCCACCCCCUUGGCAACCACAAGUCUGCUGUCCAUGUCUGUGAGCCUGUUUCUGUUCUGUAGAUAGGUUCAUCUUAUAGUAGACUUCCAUUCUUAUAUUUGGUGCCUUCCAUGUGUCAGCGCUCAACAGGUCGUGGUCCAGAUAAACCUGGUUGGGUUUCUGGGGCCUAGCUCAUGGGAGGGGCUGUCUGAGGCCCCAUCAAAGGUGGGCAAUGUCCCUUCCUGUUUCUGCUCACCAUGGUUUGAGUCUCGUUACUCCCAGCACAGCUCAUUACCAGGGGGCUGCCAUUCUGCCCCUCAGUCUGUGGCGGAUAGAAACCCUUAAGGUAUUAAAGAGUUGGCAGAAUACAAACCCUUCAGCAGAGCUGGCAACUACGUGGGUCUGACAGCCACUGAGAACUGAGCCAACGGAGGGCAUGAGCCUUGAUGGAGCCCAGGUCUUCGCCCUGAUCCAGCAGCUGUCGCGGAUGCUUCCCCCGGCUGCCUGCCACAUACUCCUGUCUUCAGUGUGCUGGGGCUGCCAUGCCAAGAUUCCACAGACCACGGAGCUUUAGCAGUGGAAAUUUAUUUUCUCACAGUUCUGGAGGCUUGAAGUCCAAGAUCAAGGUGUCAGCAGAGUUGCUUUGUCGAGGCUUCUCUCCUUGGCUCUUGGGCAGCUGCCUUCUCAUCAUGUCUUCAGUAUAUGUGUGUGUGUGUGUGUGUCCUCUUAAAAGGAGACCAGUCCUAUUGGAUUAGGGUUCACCCAUGUGACCUUAUUUUACCUUAAUUCCCUCUUUAAGGCUCCAUCUCUGAAUAGUUACAUUCCACAGCAGUGGGGGUUAGGACUUCAACAUAGAGAUUUUAGAGGCACACAGUUCAGCCCAUAACUCCUUAGGUGAGGUCCCCACUGUGCCGCCUGUGACCUUUGACCCUAGGCUAGGGAUGGUGGAUGCUGGGGAAUUAUCCCUACAGGAAACCAGGAGGGCUUGGAUUUAUUUUUUCCUUAUAUGGACAAGGAUGGAUUCUAUCCAAGACUCAAACAUCUCUGGGCUAUAAGAGUGGCUGCUGAAAUGCUAAUGAAUGACUCAGGCAGGAGAUGUCAGGUUGAUAAAGAAGGCAGGUGUGAGCAGAGGUAUUUAAAGCCUGGAAAUUGGGAAUAACCUUGAAAAUAGUGGGGCUGGCGUUUUUGACAGUGCGGUUUAGUGAUUGCAUAUUAGUUAGUGGUCUGGACUGUCCCUAGACCAUAGAGUCUGAAUGUCACAGGCAAUACAAGGGAUUUCCUGUGGGGAUUCUGAUCACACUCAGCUUUUGCCUUCUCACUGCCCUUAAACCCAUCAGCUGCCUAAGAUGGGCCUGUACUGUCUGCCUUUUCUGGGUGAUAAGAGAAUUGUGGGCAGGGUGGUGGCUGAGACUUGAGCUGGGCACUGUCUCAUGGACCACUUUGGUGCUGAUGGUUUAUGUUACCUGGCGACAAGCCAUGCAGGGGUAAGGCUCAAGGCGAUGGAGCAGAGGACUCCUUCUCCCUCCUUCACCCUGGUACCUAGUACACCAUCAGGACUUCCCUGGGACCCAGUACAAGGUGGAGGGCCACUGUCCCCUUGCAGGGCCCAACACCAGGCAUACGCCCUUGCCCCCUUUCCAGAGUCUUCAUGCAGCCGUAGCCAGUUGGCACCAGGCUCAGUCAAGGUGAGCCAGAGCUGUUGGCCUCAGGACAGAUGGAGCCAACGAACUGGGAAAGAGCCCAUGGGGCUACGUCCCCAGGGGUGACCAACCUGGCAGGAGGCUCUCCAUCUUAGCUGCCUGUGUCUGCAGCUCUGUCUCUAACCGAACUUCCCCAGCAUACUUGCCAAAGAGUAAAUAAAACCUAAAGGUGGCGUGGGUCGCUUCUGUCACUCGUGAUACCCUGGGUGGUGGAAUGGUUGAGCAUUCAGGCUCUGGAGCCCAGCUACAGGCUUCUAGUCCUUGCCUAGUACGGGACUUCUCUCCAAGCCUCAGCCUCCUCGUCUGUAGGGCUGCAUCGUGAUAGCGGCUUCCGGUAGCGUUAUCGCGGGAUUUGGUGAGAUCGUGUGGGUGGUCCCACAGUAACUGCCUAGCCAGUCAUAGACAUUGUGGUCAUGGCCACAACCCAACUGCUGCUUUGGAAACCACUAUGCAGGAGCAGGGGUCCUGCACCCAGACCAAGGUCUGAAUUCUUUUCUGCCUCCCUCCUGGCACAGCAGGUGGCCACCGCUGAGCCGGGAAGCAGAGGCAGCAUGGCAGCUGGAGACUGAACAGCAAUUAGAUUUUCACAGCCUCCCAGGGAGCUUGGGUAUCUGCCUCCGCCAGAGUCGGUCCCCCGGCUUUCCCAGGGUCUCGCCAAGGCAGAAUUCCCGUGUCACCAGGCCAGCGGAGGCACCAAUUAAAAUGAGCAAGUACCAGGCAUGCUGAGUUCCAGCCUGGUAACCGAUACUUGACGCCUUUAGCUUCCUCCGCCUCCCGAGUCUUCGUGGGGGAUGCUAUCUGUUUCCGGGACCUCCUGUCAUGAAAAGCCAUCCCUCCCCUCUGCACGCAGAAAGCUGCCUGGUGGAAAUGGCGGUAGUGGCAGCUGAGCGCAGGCUGGAGCGGCUGCUGCACUGCUCUUUACCCGUCACUGUCAGGGGGUCUGAGUUCACAUUUGCUCGAGAGCGCUUCAUGAGGCAGAACAGUCAACCCGUUAGCCCCCACAUCGGAGAGGGCACAUGCAUGGGCUCUGAUGGCUGCUGGUUGCAGUGCCUUCCUAGGGGCUGCCUUAUGAAUUACAGCAUGGAGGCCCCAGAAGGAAACUUAGAGGAAGCACCUAGGGAUCCAGCCCCCUGGAGGGACCCUGGUCCCAAAGACCACCCCAUCCCACCUUCCUGCUCAGGGAGCCCAUGGGACUCCCUUUGGCGGGUGAACUCCCUGAUUUGGACAUUUCCUGCCUCUCUCCCUUCUCUUCCCAUCAGUCAAAGCUGAGUAAGGUCGUUCACAAUAAAAUAACAGCUUACAGGAGUUCCUGAUGAGGUACAGCAGGUUAAGGAUCUGGCGUUGUUUCUGCAGCAACUCAGGCUGCUGGUAAGGUGUGGGUUCAACUCCUAGCCCUGGGCAGUGGGUUAAAGAUCCAGCAUUGCCGCAGCUAUGACGUUAAGUUGAAGCUGCAGCUGGCUGGGGAACUUCCCUAUGCUGAAGGCCUAGCCAGAAAAAAAAAACUCACGGGUAUUGAACCCCUACUGUGUGUUAAUAGGCAGCGUCUGAAAGCGCUUUGCUUGUGCCCUCUCUGCCUUUGGGUCCUUCCAGCAGAUGUGUGUGAUAUGUUCAGGAUCUGCAUUUGACAGAAGAAGAAAUUGACCCUAUGAGAGAUUGAAACUUAACCCAGGUCACACAGCCAGGAAGUGUCACUGACAGCAUUGGAACCUGGGUCUUCUGAUCCUAGAACUUAGGCUCUGAGCUGAUGUGUGAACACUGUGAAGUGAAGCUUUGUGAGAGAGGUAGAAUUUUAGGGCAGAGUUUCUUUUCCAAAAGGAGGUGCUUCCUAUCCCUAUCACCAUCUUUUUUUUUUUUUUUUUUUCUUGUCAGUGAAACUUUAUUUCCUACAAGGCAUUGGAAAUUGGAGCUAUGGGAGUUUCUGUUGUGGCUCAGCAGGUUAAGAACCUGAGGAAUAUCCACGAGGAUGUGGGUUCGAUCCCUGCCUUCCCUCAGUGGGUUAAAGAUCUGGCAUUGCUACAAGCUGUGGCAUAGGUCACAGAUGCGGCUCAGAUCCAGCAUUGCAGUGGCUGUGGUGUAGGCCAGCAGCUGCAGCUCCAAUUUGACCCUUAGCCUGGGAACUUCCAUGUGCUGCAGGUGUGGCUGUAAAAAGAAAAAAAGAAAAAAAUUGGAGCUCUAAAGAGCAGAACUUAAUGAGGUUUCAUUGUACAUGGGGUAUCAGAUCACUGCAGAGAAACUAGAAAAAAACGGCACGUGAAAAAAAAAACAGACCAUGAAGGACAGUCAUGAUUUCAUGCAGCUUUUUCCUCCAUGCACACCCUUCCCCAGCUUUUCCUCUGCACAAGCAUUUGGCUAAAUUUUACAUCAUGGUGAUUGGAACAAGACAAUUUGGGCUGAAAAUGGGAACUCAGAGGAGUCAAGAUUUGGGAAAGGAAGGGCAAAGGAGGACCAGCCUUGGAGCGGGGCAUGAGACUCAAAAGGCCAGCUGGGAUGUCUGAGGAAGGCCAUCUCCCAAGAUCAUGGGUACCCAGGGGCAGGUGACCCCAUAUCGUCACUUGCCUGGAGGGGUGGCCCUGGUCGGGAGAACUGCUUCAGGCCAUGGCACUUGGGUUGCCUUUCCCACUGGGGAGCCCCCUUUACGUUAUUUGCUUUUUGUUGGAGGUGCUUAUCUACUCAUAAAAAUGGACAGCUCUUUCUCUGCCCAAAGCACUUGUGAGAAUCUGGUUCAGCUGAAGUGACCUUGUAGCAAGGACCUGAGCAUGUGGCUGCCCUGGGCCUGGCUGUGGGGAGCGGGUGUGCUGUCUGAUGGGGCAGCUGCUACUUCACUUUGACCAUUUGUUACUGAGUUACCGUAAUGGCUCAGCAGAAACAAAUCUGACAGUAUCCGUGAAGACUCAGGUUUGAUCCCUGGCCUCACUCAGUGGAUUAAGGAUCUGGCAUUGCCAAGAGCUGUUGUGUAGGUUGCACUCAUGGCCUGGAUCCAGCGUUGUUGUGGUUGUGGUGUAGGCCAGCGGCUACAGCUCUGAUUCGACCCCUAGCCUGGGAACCUCCAUAUGCUGCAGGUGCGGCCCUAAAAGGAUAAAAAACAAACAAACAAAAAAAUACUCCUUCAAAAUAAGGAAACAGUACAAAACCAAUGGACAAGCCCUCCACGGCCUGGGAGAGACUCUUCACCUCUGGGUGCUGUUCCAUAGGAAUCAUAACUGGCCUGGGGAACUUAUCUCUGCCCCCCCUUGCUUUGCCUAAGGAAAGACCAGGUCUGAUUCACCUGAUUCUUUGCUGGAGGGCCAGCUUCCCGGUCUUUCUUCUUAUUGGCAUUGAACUUUACAACUGUCUUCUCUUUUCUUAGCUCUUUGAUCCAUCCUGGGUCUGGCUAGGCCUUUUUUUUUUUUUGGCUCUGACUUUGAGAUGUGUAUUUAAGAUUUGAGUGGGCAUUGCCAGUUAAAAAAAAAGUAAUAGUUUAUUUUAAUUUUAUUUUCUUUGCUUUUUUUAUGGCCACACCUGCAUCAUGUGGAAGUUCCCCGGCCUAGGGGUUGAAUCAGAGCUAUAGCCGUUGGUCUAGGCCAGAGGCACGGCAACACUGGAUCCUUAACCCACUGAACAAGGCCAGGGAUUGAACCCACUAUCUCAUGGAUACUAGUCAGGUUUGUUUCUGCUGAGCUACAACAGGAACUCAAGUAAUGGUUUAAUAGCUAGUCUUUUUUUUUUUUUUAAUUAUUUUCAUCCUGUCAACUGAAAAGCUAGGUAGAAUUUUCCAGCUGGCUUGAAUGUAUUUCUUCAAAACUUAGAACAACCAUUGCAGCGAUUACAGAAAUGUAGCAGAUCCUGUUAUGGCUUGUGAAAGAUUUGUAGUCUGGUUGGCAGUAAGAUAGAUAGGUAUAUGACAUGCCCUUUUUGUGGCUUAUAUUAUAACAGUGGAAGGAUUUAGAGGAGGAGAGAGUGGAGGAUGAGUUGGGAAGGUAGAGGUAGUUCCCCAAGGAGGUGGAAUAUGGCGGUAGGAGAUAGAGUCAAUCGGCUUGAUCUGGGGAGGGAGCAGCUUGAUCAGGAAAGGCUUCAGAGAGACUAAGCUUGAUUGUGCUCAGUGUUUCCAGAGAAGAUGAUCAGGGAGCAGUUUGUAGCCUGGCAGUAAAUUAUGAUAGGACGGCACUGUAGCAGGAGUUGAGAGCGCAAAGGACAGUGAAGGCUUGAUUAAGGGAGUAAAGGAGCCUAUGGACAAGUGGAGUUUAGGCACAGCUGGGAGUUAGGGGUACUGGGGAGAGGACCUAAUACUUGGGCAGAGGGGAAAAGGAAAAGGGGGUAUGCGCUGUCCUGUACAGGCCAGAGACGAGGGUGCCAGGGGUAGACUGGGGCGAGGGUUGUUAAGAGCAUGCACUGACUUGAGUCCCAUCCUGCCAUUUACUGCUGUGCAGUCUUGGGUGCUUGACAUAACCACUCUGGGCUUCUGUUUCCUCAUCCAUAAAAGGAAACAAUACCAGUAUCACCUUUGAGGGCUGUUCCAAGGUUGAAACAAGACAGCGUACCUCAGACAAGCACAUUGCCUGGCUUACAGCAGUGGGAGCACUGGGUGGCUGUUAGCCAUUUUUAUUAGGGGAGGGGUCAGAGCGGGUGGAUUUAUUUUAGGCAGAGCCUGGAGUGCUGGCCGCAGUUAAGACUUGGUUGAGCAACCAGCCAGUGAUGCUGACCUCUUGCUAAUUCCAGAUCCUGUCUCUGCACACCCUGAUAGACCUUAAACCUCCCUGAUAGACCCUGGAGUGGGGGUGGGGUGGUCACCCCUGAUGAGGGAUGACUUUUCUCUCUGGAGAUUGGGAGGUGGGUGGAGAGGAAACAUCCAGCAUGUUCUAUAGGAGCCAGGUUGGGCAUCUCUCCUUCUGUGUCUGUCUCCCCGACCAGCCUCUGAACUUACCCAGGGUCGCCCCAUCCCUCCAGCCUUGAAGCUCCAUGCAGUUCCUGCCUCAUCCUUGGCACUUGGGAAGCAUUGGGAUGAUCUGGAGCCGAGGAGUCCUUUCACAGGCUCCUCUGGCCUGGGAUACAUAGGCAGGCGGGUGUGUCUUACAUCAGGAGCUGUAUCUGGCAAGGAUAGUGAAAGAAAAGCAGAGUGUGGAGUUCCCUUCGUGGCGCAGUGGUUAACGAAUCCGACUAGGAACCUUGAGGUUGCAGAUUCGAUCCCUGGCCUUGCUCAGUGGGUUGACGAUCCGGCAUUGCUGUGAGCUGUGGUGUAGGUUGCAGAUGUGGCUCAGAUCCCGCGUUGCUGUGGCUCUGGUGUAGGCCAAUGGGUACAGCUCCGAUUCGACCCCUAGCCUGGGAACCUCCAUAUACCAUAGGAGUGGCCCUAGAAAAAGCAAACGACCAAAAAAAAAAAAAAAA